GAAAAAAAGAGAGAGCGUUGAGAGAAUCGGUAUGGUCAUAGCAACAUCCUUCUUAUUACAGCACAAACCACAAAAAAGGAAUUGCCUAUAGAGAGGAAGUAGGCUUUAGACAAAAAGUGCCUCUUGUGCCCCUAGUAGGGAAAGCAGCUGAGAUAGAGAGAGCAGCUCUCCCUUAAAGUCCUUUAUAGAUUUCUAGUCGGGAAUAGAGCUGUGGCUUAGAUCCCCUGAUCGAGUAAUGGGCUUUGUUUUUCUCUCGUUCACGUUGAUAGCCCCGGUUCAGUUCAAGCUGCUGCGAAAGAAUUUGUCGAAGU
rnacentral:lncRNA from 1 species